UUUUUGGAGAGUUUGAUCUUGGCUCAGGACGAACGCUGGCGGCGUGCCUAAUACAUGCAAGUCGAGCGCUGGAAACUAAUUUCAUCCCUUCGGGAUGAAAUUAGUUGAAAGAGCGGCGGACGGGUGAGUAACACGUGGGCAACCUACCUAUAAGACUGGGAUAACUCGCGGAAACGUGAGCUAAUACCGGAUAAUACUUUUUAUUGCAUAAUAAGAAGUUUGAAAGGCGGCGUAAGCUGUCACUUAUAGAUGGGCCCGCGGCGCAUUAGCUAGUUGGUGAGGUAAAGGCUCACCAAGGCAACGAUGCGUAGCCGACCUGAGAGGGUGAUCGGCCACAC
rnacentral:rRNA from 1 species